GACGGAGGAUGCAAGUGUUAUCCGGAAUCACUGGGCGUAAAGCGUCUGUAGGUGGUCAAAUAAGUCAACUGUUAAAUCUUGAGGCUCAACCUCAAAAUCGCAGUCGAAACUAUUCGACUAGAGUAUAGUAGGGGUAAAGGGAAUUUCCAGUGGAGCGGUGAAAUGCGUAGAGAUUGGAAAGAACACCGAUGGCGAAGGCACUUUACUGGGCUAUUACUAACACUGAGAGGCGAAAGCUAGGGUAGCAAAUGGG
rnacentral:rRNA from 1 species